GGUUUGUGCUUAAAUAGUCUCGCAUUCACUGACUGACCGUUCCUAGCACAAGAGGCAAAGGACUCGGUGGUUGGUAUCUGAGAUCUCAAGUUCGAAUCCUGAUUGAUUCAUAUUUCUAGCUAAGUUUAUUUUUAAAUAAAGCAAAACUAGUCUCGCAGUUUUAUUCUUGAUUAACUUCAAUUUGUACCCUGCGCAGCAGCUGCGCUAUAACGCAACUUCACUUUACCACCUCGUAGUUUAAAAAAUUAUAUUUAAUUAUUUUUAUUUCACAAGAUCAUAUAAUAUCCUGUUUAAUAAUAAAUUCUUGUUGUGAAAUAAAAAUAAAAUCACAUAAUUCUUAAGUGUAACUUUCUAAAAAGUUAUACUACUCUAUUGUCUUCU
rnacentral:lncRNA from 1 species